CCUUCCGUAGGGGAACCUGCGGAAGGAUCAUCAUCGUGAAUUAACAUCUUCCACACGUGCGUGAGCGCAAGCAAAACACGAAAAAACUGUAGUACGAGAGUCAAAACAAACCAAAAAACAAAACUUUCAACAACGGAUCUCUUGGUUCUCGCAUCGAUGAAGAGCGCAGCGAAAUGCGAUACCUAGUGUGAAUUGCAGCCAUCGUGAAUCAUCGAGUUCUUGAACGCACAUUGCGCCCUCUGGUAUUCCGGAGGGCAUGCCUGUUUGAGCGUCGUUUCCUUCUUGCUUGCGAGCAGAAAUGGGGGGGCCCUGGCAUUGGGGCCGCUCUGAAAAGAAACGUUGCGGGCGAAGCGAACUAUGAGUAGGACGCUUGGCCGCCGAACUUAAUACAUAAGCUCGACCUCAAAUCAGGUAGGAAUACCCGCUGAACUUAAGCAUAUCAAUAAGCGGAGGAAAAGGGAUCUUCUGUGAUUGAUAUCUUGCACACGUGCGUGAGCGCAGCAAACACGAAAAACGGUAGUUCGAGAGUAGAACAACCAAAAACAAGCGUUCACAAGGGACUUGAGUUGAUGAUGAGACGCGCGAUGCCUACUAUGUGACUGAACUCGGAUCGCGGUUGAAGAAUGCGCACUGUAUCGAAGAGCUGUGUGGCGUCUUCGUCUGUGCGGGAAUCUGGGGCUGCAUGGGCCUUACGACCUCAGCACCAUUGAGUAGAGCUAGCACAUGCCGACUGCUCAUCGUAUAUCCUAAAAGCAGAGUUGCGAGAG
rnacentral:rRNA from 1 species